rnacentral:sRNA from 1 species
UACUAGUGACCUAAUACGGUAUAUAUGGGGUCAGUAAAUUCCAAAUAUGGAAUUUACUGACACCAUAUAUACCGUAUUACGUCACUAGCACACU